GGCAGCGUGGCUUAGUGGAAAGGGCAAGGGCCUGGGAGUCAGAGGUUGUGGGUUCGAAUCCCGGCUCUGCCA
rfam:Ornithorhynchus anatinus chromosome 4, whole genome shotgun sequence.